GCCCCUGUAGCUUAAACAUUAAAGCAUUGGUCUUGUAAACCAAAGAUGGACUAUAACUGUCCCAGAGACA
rnacentral:tRNA from 1 species